UACAGAGGGGGCAAGCGUUAUUCGGAAUUAUUGGGCGUAAAGGGCGCGUAGGCGGCUUGGCAAGUGAAAGGUGAAAUCCCUCGGCUUAACCGAGGAACUGCCCUCCAAACUGCUUCGCUUGAGACCGGGAGAGGUGAGUGGAAUUCCCAGUGUAGCGGUGAAAUGCGUAGAUAUUGGGAGGAACACCAGUGGCGAAGGCGGCUCACUGGACCGGUACUGACGCUGAUGCGCGAAAGCGUGGGGAGCAAACGGG
rnacentral:rRNA from 1 species